rnacentral:rRNA from 1 species
CGGAUUGCAGGCUGNAACCCGCCUGCAUGAAGUUGGAAUUGCUAGUAAUCGCGGAUCAGCAUGCCGCGGUGAAUACGUUCCCUGGCCUUGUACACACCGCCCGUCACACCAUGGGAGCCGGUAAUACCCGAAGUCAGUAGCCUAACCGCAAGGGGGGCGCUGCCGAAGGUAGGAUUGGCGACUGGGGUGAAGUCGUAACAAGGUAAC